rnacentral:rRNA from 1 species
UGCAGUCGAGCGGGGAAGAUGGUAGCUUGCUACCUUGUACCUAGCGGCGGACGGGUGAGUAAUGCUUAGGAAUCUGCCUAUUAGUGGGGGACAACAUUCCGAAAGGAAUGCUAAUACCGCAUACGCCCUACGGGGGAAAGCAGGGGAUCUUCGGACCUUGCGCUAAUAGAUGAGCCUAAGUCAGAUUAGCUAGUUGGUGGGGUAAAGGCCUACCAAGGCGACGAUCUGUAGCGGGUCUGAGAGGAUGAUCCGCCACACUGGGACUGAGACACGGCCCAGACUCCUACGGGAGGCAGCAGUGGGGAAUAUUG